CCUACGGGAGGCAGCAGUAGGGAAUAUUGGGCAAUGGAGGCAACUCUGACCCAGCCAUGCCGCGUGCAGGAAGACGGUCCUCUGGAUUGUAAACUGCUUUUGAAUGGGAAGAAUGUGCUCCUUGCGAGGGGUAAUGACGGUACCAUUAGAAUAAGCCACGGCUAACUACGUGCCAGCAGCCGCGGUAAUACGUAGGUGGCGAGCGUUAUCCGGAUUUAUUGGGUUUAAAGGGUGCGUAGGCGGCUUAAUAAGUCGGUGGUUAAAAGUAGCAGCUUAACUGUUUUACAUGCCAUCGAUACUGUUGAGCUUGAGAUAUUUGGAGGCAGCUAGAAUUUCCGGUGUAGCGGUGAAAUGCAUAGAUACCGGAAGGAAUACCAAUUGCGAAGGCAGGUUGCUACGAAUAAACUGACGCUGAUGCACGAAAGCGUGGGGAUCAAACAGGAUUAGAUACCCUGGUAGUCCACGCCGUAAACGAUGAUUACUAGUUGUUGGGGUUUUAAAGCCUUCUAGUGACGAACGGAAACCGAACGUAAGUAAUACCUACCGUACGGGGAGGUACGGACCGGCCGAACGGUACGAACGUACGAAAGGAAAGUUAGUACGGACGNGAGACGUGCCGACGGACGACGACGAGGGAGGAGG
rnacentral:rRNA from 1 species